AAAGUAAAGUAAACGACAAAGAUGCCGGAAACACAAAAGAAAUCAUUUAUUCUUUCUUGUAUUCUUCUUGAGAUCACAGACGUAGUUGCUGGAAAUCAGUCUGAUUAUAUCUAUUGUAUAUCGAACAAAGCUAAAUAAAAAUACUACUAUUGUUAUUUGAUGUGCAAAGUUUCGGCGCGUAAACUAUAGAUGACAUUUCUUAUUAUUAGAUCGAACAUUAGAUCGGAAUAGGGCUGUACAUGAAUAAGUGACUUCUUAUCCUUCGAAAAAAUGACUUGCGUAAAUGCCACUAUAGUGGCGUACGUUUCAAAAAGAUAACAUGCGAAAGCCAUUAUAAUGGCAUUUAGUAGCUAAAAGGUUAAAAGAUUAUAUGCGAUAUGUACGGCGUAGAACGAACCAGUUGCGAGAAUGUUUUCACGUGUGCGUAGACGAAGUUGUGUUUAUUUGGUUAGAAUAACAAUUAACCAUCGUCAUGGAAAAAUCACAAAAAAUGCCCAAAGUGGCUAAGGUGAAAAACAAAAUACCCGAGAAAAUUUAAAUCAUAGCAUUACAGCUAUUAAAAGAAACAAAGAAAAAAAUCUUUAUGCAAUAAUGUUAAACCUAUCUAUAAUUUAACAUAGAGAACAAUUCAUUUGUAAGUAUUCUCUUUUAGCCAUCUGAGCAAAAAAUAUAAGAUCCCCAUAAAUUGGCUAAUUAUCAAUAUGGAAAAUGAAAUAUCUAUGAUGACAAUGUGUAAGAAUCAUAUGGUUUUAACGAAUCGGAUAAAUAUGCCCGAUGGGAAGAAAGUCAGAAACAAUGCAGAGAGCAAGAUGUUGAUCAUAGAAACAUUACAUUAUGGCUAUAUUAUAUUAAAAUAGAAAUGUGCAAUAAGUAAAUAAAGUAUGCCAGAAAUUUAUUAGAUCGUGCAGUCACAAUUUUAUCUAGAACAAAUCAAUUUUGAUACAAAUACACAUAUAUGGAAGAAAUGUUAGAAAAUAUUAUUGAAAUACGUCAAGUUUUUGAGCGAUGGAUGGAAUGGGAAUCUGACUAACAGGCAUGGGAAACAUAUAUUAAAUUUAAAUUACGAUAUAAAGAAAUACAAAGAGCAAGAUAAAGAUAUAUAAUUGUAUAGGGAGAUAUAUAGUUUUGUAAUAAAUGGAGGACGCAAAGUUUAUGAAGAUGCUAUAAACUUUUUCGGAGAUGAGAACUUAGAUGAAAAGCUAUUUAUAGCAUUUACUAGAUUUGAGGAAGGACAGAGAGAAGUAUUAUUUUAAGAUAACAAUAUAUUCAGUAUAUCUGUUAUAAUAAGUAUAUUUUUAAUAUUUUUCUGGUUGCAUAGAGCAAAAAUAAUUUCUAGAAAUGCUUUAGACAAUAUUUCAAAAGAAAAAACAAAAGAAAUAUAUAAUGCAUA